rnacentral:rRNA from 1 species
AGGCUUAACACAUGCAAGUCGAGGGGCAGCACAGGUAGCAAUACCGGGUGGCGACCGGCGCACGGGUGAGUAACGCGUAUGCAACUUGCCUAUCAGAGGGGGAUAACCCGGCGAAAGUCGGACUAAUACCGCAUGAAGCAGGGAUCCCGCAUGGGAAUAUUUGCUAAAGAUUCAUCGCUGAUAGAUAGGCAUGCGUUCCAUUAGGCAGUUGGCGGGGUAACGGCCCACCAAACCGACGAUGGAUAGGGGUUCUGAGAGGAAGGUCCCCCACAUUGGUACUGAGACACGGACCAAACUCCUACGGGAGGCAGCAGUGAGGAAUAUUGGUCAAUGGCCGAGAGGCUGAACCAGCCAAGUCGCGUGAGGGAUGAAGGUUCUAUGGAUCGUAAACCUCUUUUAUAAGGGAAUAAAGUGCGGGACGUGUCCCGUUUUGUAUGUACCUUAUGAAUAAGGAUCGGCUAACUCCGUGCCAGCAGCCGCGGUAAUACGGAGGAUCCGAGCGUUAUCCGGAUUUAUUGGGUUUAAAGGGUGCGUAGGCGGCCUUUUAAGUCAGCGGUGAAAGUCUGUGGCUCAACCAUAGAAUUGCCGUUGAAACUGGGGGGCUUGAGUAUGUUUGAGGCAGGCGGAAUGCGUGGUGUAGCGGUGAAAUGCAUAGAUAUCACGCAGAACCCCGAUUGCGAAGGCAGCCUGCCAAGCCAUGACUGACGCUGAUGCACGAAAGCGUGGGGAUCAAACAGGAUUAGAUACCCUGGUAGUCCACGCAGUAAACGAUGAUCACUAGCUGUUUGCGAUACACUGUAAGCGGCACAGCGAAAGCGUUAAGUGAUCCACCUGGGGAGUACGCCGGCAACGGUGAAACUCAAAGGAAUUGACGGGGGCCCGCACAAGCGGAGGAACAUGUGGUUUAAUUCGAUGAUACGCGAGGAACCUUACCCGGGUUUGAACGCAUUCGGACCGAGGUGGAAACACCUUUUCUAGCAAUAGCCGUUUGCGAGGUGCUGCAUGGUUGUCGUCAGCUCGUGCCGUGAGGUGUCGGCUUAAGUGCCAUAACGAGCGCAACCCUUGCCACUAGUUACUAACAGGUAAAGCUGAGGACUCUGGUGGGACUGCCAGCGUAAGCUGCGAGGAAGGCGGGGAUGACGUCAAAUCAGCACGGCCCUUACAUCCGGGGCGACACACGUGUUACAAUGGCGUGGACAAAGGGAAGCCACCUGGCGACAGGGAGCGAAUCCCCAAACCACGUCUCAGUUCGGAUCGGAGUCUGCAACCCGACUCCGUGAAGCUGGAUUCGCUAGUAAUCGCGCAUCAGCCAUGGCGCGGUGAAUACGUUCCCGGGCCUUGUACACACCGCCCGUCAAGCCAUGGGAGCCGGGGGUACCUGAAGUCCGUAACCGCGAGGAUCGGCCUAGGGUAAAACUGGUGACUGGGGCUA